rnacentral:rRNA from 1 species
AAUCAACGCUGGCGGCGUGCCUAACACAUGCAAGUCGAACGCGAAAGCCCCGCAAGGGGUAAGUAGAGUGGCAAACGGGUGAGUAACACGUGGGUGACCUGCCUUCGAGUGGGGGAUAACGUCCCGAAAGGGACGCUAAUACCGCAUGACAUCCUGCUUUUGAAAAAGCGGAGAUCAAAGCUGGGGAUCGCAAGACCUAGCGCUUGAAGAGGGGCCCGCGCCUGAUUAGCUAGUUGGUGAGGUAACGGCUCACCAAGGCGACGAUCGGUAUCCGGCCUGAGAGGGCGGACGGACACACUGGGACUGAGACACGGCCCAGACUCCUACGGGAGGCAGCAGUGGGGAAUUGUUCGCAAUGGGCGCAAGCCUGACGACGCAACGCCGCGUGGAGGACGAAGAUCUUCGGGUCGUAAACUCCUGUCGAGCGGGACGAACGCUUCGCGGAUGAAUAAUCCGCGGAAUUGACGGUACCGCUAAAGGAAGCCCCGGCUAACUCCGUG